rnacentral:rRNA from 1 species
GACGAACGCGGCGGCGUGCUUAACACAUGCAAGUCGAACGGCCCCGCCCCUGUUUUUGGGGGUGGGUUGAGUGGCGAACGGGUGAGUAUCACGUGAGUAACCUGCCUCCUGCUCCGGAUAACUGCUUGAAAGGGCGGCUAAUACGGGGUGUGCCGGCUGGUCCGCAUGGGCCUGGUCGGGAUAGUUUCAUCUUCGGGUGUUUCGGUGGGGGAUGGGCUCGCGGCCUAUCAGCUUGUUGGUGGGGUGAUGGCCCACCAAGGCGGUGACGGGUAGCCGGCCUGAGAGGGUGGGCGGCCACACUGGGACUGAGACACGGCCCAGACUCCUGCGGGAGGCAGCAGUGGGGGGUAUUGCACAAUGGGCGGAAGCCUGAUGCAGCGACGUCGCGUGAGGGAUGGAGGCCUUCGGGUUGUGAACCUCUUUCUCCGGUGGUGAAGGCCCUGUCCGUUGCGGCGGGGUUGACGGUAGCCGGGUAUGAAGCGCCGGCUAACUACGUGCCAGCAGCCGCGGUGAUACGUAGGGCGCGAGCGUUGUCCGGAAUUAUUGGGCGUGAAGGGCUUGUAGGCGGCCGGUCGCGUCCGCCGUGAAAUUCUCCGGCUCAACCGGGGGCUUGCGGUGGGUACGGGCCGGCUGGAGUGCGGUAGGGGAGGCUGGAACUCCUGGUGUAGCGGUGGAAUGCGCAGAUAUCAGGAGGAACACCGGUGGCGAAGGCGGGUCUCUGGGCCGUUACUGACGCUGAGGAGCGAAAGCGUGGGGAGCGAACAGG